GAUGAAGAACGUAGCGAAAUGCGAUAAGUAAUGCGAAUUGCAGAAUCCGUGAAUCAUCGAAUCUUUGAACGCACAUUGCGCCCGCCAGUAUUCUGGCGGGCAUGCCUGUUCGAGCGUCAUUUCAACCCUCAAGCACAGCUUGGUGUUGGGACUCGCGUUAAUUCGCGUUCCCCAAAUUGAUUGGCGGUCACGUCGAGCUUCCAUAGCGUAGUAGUAAAACCCUCGUUACUGGUAAUCGUCGCGGCCACGCCGUUAAACCCCAACUUCUGAAUGUUGACCUCGGAUCAGGUAGGAAUACCCGCUGAACUUAAGCAUAUCAAUAAGCGGAGGA
rnacentral:misc_RNA from 1 species